rnacentral:lncRNA from 10 species
GAUUAUUCUUCGGACUUGGACUCCGCUUUGGAUUGCCUUCUUUCAGCUUUGCUGCUUUGCUGAAGGCUGUGCAUCAGAGGUGCUUCUACCUGGGAGGACCUCCACCCCAUAACCUCUGUCACUCCCCAGACACUCUUUCUGGUCCAUAAUGACUGGUAGAAGAUGCCCUGGAUCUGCUAUACAGAAACAAAGAACAAGUAUCAAACUGGAUGUUAAACAGAAAUUGUAUGACCUUCAUGUUUCCUUCCAGGUAAUGAUCAUGAAAACAGAGGGUAAAGGUUGGCAGACAAUUAAGUGCCACUGAAGUCCUUUGACAUUAAGCAGGACAUCAUAAACAUAUUUUCAGUUUGGAGGGAUUUGACUAACAAUUCUGUAUCUGGAACAAAUGAUAGCUAUAGAUAUGAUACAACUCCAGGAGACUGGAAGAAAAUGUGAAAGCUAUUGGCAUUGUAGGAUGCUGGGACUGCGACUUUGUAAGAACUCUGUUAUAAUGAUCCGUAAAGGUGCUUUUCCAGUUAGAAAUGAAUGCGUGUUUUGCACUGAAAGAGGUAUGAAUGUACCCCAUAAUAUAUAACAUUACAUAACAUUUAGCCAAAACAAGUGGUCACUAACUGUUAGUUUCUUUAGCUUUCUACUAAGUCAAGUGUUAAUAUACCUACCAAUUUUGGAUUCCCACAGGGUACAAGACAGCAGCUAGACAGCCUUUUAAGCUAUCCUAGUAUAGUGAUAUUUGGAGACAACAAAUAUAGAACAAAAUAUUUGUUUUGCUUACUACCUUAUCCCUAGAGCAGUGUUUCUCAAUAGAGGCACUAUUGACAUUUGCAUUGGAUAAUUCUUUGUUGUGGGAAACUGUUCAAUGCAUAGUGGAUGCUUAGAGAAUGUUAGCCUGAUCUUGACUCACUAGAUGCCAGUAGUGUUUUCUCAGUUGUGAUAAUCAAAAAUGUCUCCAGCCACUGUCAGAUAUCCUCUAGACAGAAAAAUUCCCCACUGUUGAGAAACACGGAGUUACAACAUCAAAUAUAACAGACACUCAAGUGUUUGUUAAUGAAUAAAAAAUUGGAUGAAUGAAAUUUUUCCUGCUGUCCAUAUUCAUAUGAAUUUUUCAUUGUCUAAUAUAGCAAUAAUGCAGGAGAGGGGAAGGGAGUUAGAAAUUAGAUUUUAAAAGAGAGCAUUUUUGUUAGACACUAUACCUGGCCAACAGGAACAUGCAUUUGAAGUCUAAUCCUACGCAAACCAACAGAGAUCAUUCUAUCUUGUGAGCCCUUGAAUUACCUACCUACCGGAACUUCUCCCUGUUGGUGACUAAAAUUCCACCAAAGUAGAUGCUUUUUACUUUGAAGUUCCAUUUUCCUGAAGAGCUCUUUUAAAAAAUAAAUACACCAGGUAGAAUUAAUUGCUUAAUCCUUAUUGUUAACAAGAAAGGGAUCAUGCAUUUGAUUUUCUUCUACAUUACUAUGAGCACCGAGGGAGUCCUUGGGAUUUUGGAGAUUUUAGAGGUCACAUUGCAAAAAGGAGAUGGUAAAGGCAAACUUCACCAACAACUGAAUUUUAUCAAGUGGUUCUCACCAGUGUUAUUUGUUUAUUAAAUAAACACACAGUCUCUAGGAUACUUUCUUUGCAUGUUCCUUCUUCGAGGACAUGUAGAAAAUGUUAAAUACCCAAAUAUUCAAAAUCAUGAUACCCAGAAACUUGUUUGCUACUUUAAUUGCUAAUUUCAUGGUCGUCAUUCUUAAACAGUAGUAAAUUUGAAGACUAUACUUUCCAAUUUUGUAUUUCCAAAAUUGUUGAUAUCUGUGAAGAAUGAGUGCUAGAGCCUCUCAGAUUUGAUUCUAACAAGAAGUCUUAGCGAAGUCACAGUCUUUAAGCAUAAGCUGCUAAGGUGCUUUCUUCAGUACAGGCACUGGCAUCUGUUAUUCAAACCCUUGCUUGAGUUGAUUUCUGCUUAUUAUUCAUUAAAAUAUAUGUGUUAAAAUAAGCAUGCCCUGAUCUGAGCCUCUCACUUAGAUGUUGUUUCUCUCAUCUUUCCAGCAGGGUUGCAGUAAUCAUACCUACUAGAGAAUGAGGGCAUUUCCUUUGGUCAGUACGUAAUUACCAAGAUAGUCAUUACCAUCACUACAAAAGGCAGCAGGGAUGUUCUUCACAGAGAAAAAUUUGACAUGGAGCAAAUUGAGCUAUUCAUAGUGGUAGAGAGCUACCCUUCAAGCUAUCCAUAGGAUAGUGCAUUCAGUUCAAUUCAAUGUCCAUUUAUCAUAUACCUAUUGAUACUGAGGGGAGAAGAUUCAAUUAAAUAAAGCUACUUGCUGGGCAGAGGAGUAGAUUUCCUUUCUGAACAGUUAAAUGUUAUGGGCCAUUUUUUAUGUGUUCACUUACCUAGCCCUUGACAAAAUAAAAGCUAAUUAUGGCAAAAUUAAGAAGAUUUCACAAUCAGAGAUAUCAAUAUCUCUAUGGCUUCUCUGGGACAGGCACCACAUUAGUCUUUAAUGUUUUUGGAAGUCUUUCUAGACUUAUUCAUUGAUCUAUGUGAGAAAACUUUCUGAUGAAUGAUCUAGUAUGCAAAAUGUCCAUAGCAUUGGUAAAUAUCCUUACCUCCUGUAGCUGGUUUCUUUUAUAAUCUCUUUGUCUCAUGAAAAGAAAGGGCAAUUUAUAAUUUCUUAUUAAAUUUCUGGCUUGCA